rnacentral:lncRNA from 1 species
UAUUUUCUAAAUGGAAACAAGACUGACAUGAAUGAUGAGAAAGUAUUCUGCGGAGACUGGAUUAUGCACUAUACCAUUGUGGUGGCAGUGCCUCCUUCUGCAAGGUAAACAGCAGUGCUGGAUUUGGAGUGCACUGCCCGGUCACCGCCGUUAUUGUUGACCUCGCAGUGCAGCGGCUCAGUGGAGAUGACCCAUGUCGAAGGACGCCAUCGCUUCAGUGAGUAAGGAGUUUUCACACGUUUCUUGAUCUUCUCUCCUGAGCCCGAUUUGCCGUCCUGUGAGGAGUCACCUACUGAACAACGACAACAACAAGCAGAAAGAUAGCAUUACAGGAAAGAACAGAAUGGACAGCGCAGGAUUGUUACACAUGCAGAACAGAACAAAAAGCAGAAAAUCCUAAUAAGUUUAGCAACUGUAUGGCAGAGACAUGGCAGCGGACAGUGGCUGUCACUAAAACAAGGGGGCAGAUUCUGUUCUCUGUCAGAAAUUACUUCAGUGAAGUAAUUUGUGUUACCUUGAAUGCACAUUGGCAUCAAACAGCAGAAUCAGCAUUUGAUAUUUGAGGGGCUUUUGCAAUCAUAGUAUCUUACAUUACCUGUAAUGGAAGGUACAAAAAAAAAAAUGUAGCUACUACAGCACAGCAAAGGCUAAACAUUUAAAAGCAUAAAUAAAUCACAGAUCCC